rnacentral:lncRNA from 1 species
GACCAUGCAUUAGCACCCUCGCUGCUGCUGGCUGCACACACUGCCCCGCUGCCUCGCACAGCCCACGGGUGAACAAACACUGCAGUGCGGCCAGGACGGUGGCCUUAGCGCUGAACCCACAAUGCUCACAUGGGACCCAUCAUGAAAUGCUGUAGUCUCUGGACAUGCUUACAGAAGAGCAAAGGUCUGCUAUGUCAGACUACCUUUAAGCCCCCAAAUCCAAACCCAGCCCUGCCGGUCCUUUUCCACUCAAGAGACUGGCUUCCUUGCUCACUUCCGCCAUAUUGGCGAGAAUUCUUGUCCAGUGCUUCACUGAAGGCAGGACCUCAUUUCCGUCCGCAUGUAGCUCCCCAGAAACUUUCCUGAUAAGCUCAUUUCACAGGAUUACAGGAUCUCACAGAGUGCUGUGUUGAGGGCUGAUAAAUAUAAAGAACACACUUCUGGUACUUUGUCUAAGUGCUAUCUUAAAAAGGAGGAAUUUUCUCUUUUAAGUCUCAGACAUUUUUCUUUUGCCUCCCUCCGUUCUUACUAUGAGUAUGUUAAAGCAAAGAAUUGUAGCUGGAAUCAUAUCAUAACGUCAUCUGUGAGGAGAACAUCUCCGUAUCUCACUCUCUUGAAAUAAAAUCAAACCCU